ACCAGCAUCAAUGCAGCUCUCAUGUCAACAUCAGCAUCAAGACAGCUCUGAUAGACCACCUCUUACUGUGUACGUUUCCCCCCCCCCUUUUGAGACACCAUUGAAGGGCCAGUGGUUACGCAGGCAGGCUGGAUAUUACGACACAAUUGGCAUGCAUUGGGUGAUGCAGGCAGACUGCUUAGUGCGCACCACUCGUCGUUUAGUCUAUUGAGCUGCUACAAGUGUUGUGUCAGUCAAUUUCCUCUCCGAAAAUAAAAUGUUGGGCUCCACACACACUGUUUACACUCGAAAUUAUUGUAAUUAUUAAAAAUAAGCAUAUUAAUGCUAAAAUAUGCAUGGGGGGGGGUAAAUAUGCAUGGGGGGAGCCCC